CCUACGGGAGGCAGCAGUGGGGAAUAUUGCGCAAUGGGCGAAAGCCUGACGCAGCAACGCCGCGUGGGGGAUGAAGGCCUUCGGGUUGUAAACCUCUUUCAGCAGGGAAGAAGCGAAAGUGACGGUACCUGCAGAAGAAGCACCGGCUAACUACGUGCCAGCAGCCGCGGUAAUACGUAGGGUGCAAGCGUUGUCCGGAUUUAUUGGGCGUAAAGAGCUCGUAGGCGGUUAGUCACGUCGGAUGUGAAAUCCCGGAGCUUAACUCCGGGCCUGCAUUCGAUACGGGCUGACUCGAGUGUUGUAGGGGAGACUGGAACUCCUGGUGUAGCGGUGAAAUGCGCAGAUAUCAGGAAGAACACCGGUGGCGAAGGCGGGUCUCUGGGCAACUACUGACGCUGAGGAGCGAAAGCGUGGGGAGCAAACAGGAUUAGAUACCCUGGUAGUCCACGACGUAACGGUAGGCGCGUAGUGUGGGACGAUCUACGUCUCUGCGCCGCACGCGUACGACAUAAGUACGCCCGCCGUCGGGACGGUACGGCCGGCCGACGGACGUAAACGUAAACGAAAGUAAGUAGUACGUUGAGUAGAGCGACGACGACGACGACGGAGGAGG
rnacentral:rRNA from 1 species